UACGUAGGGUGCAAGCGUUAAUCGGAAUUACUGGGCGUAAAGCGUGCGCAGGCGGUGAUGUAAGACAGAUGUGAAAUCCCCGGGCUCAACCUGGGAACUGCAUUUGUGACUGCAUCGCUGGAGUACGGCAGAGGGGGAUGGAAUUCCGCGUGUAGCAGUGAAAUGCGUAGAUAUGCGGAGGAACACCGAUGGCGAAGGCAAUCCCCUGGGCCUGUACUGACGCUCAUGCACGAGAGCGUGGGGAGCAAACAGG
rnacentral:rRNA from 1 species